rnacentral:tRNA from 1 species
UCCCUUGUAGCUCAGUCGGUAAAGAAUCUGCCUGUAAUGCAGGAGACCCAGGUUCAAUCCCUGGGUCGGGAC